CGGUAACAGCUCAAAUUUGAAAUCUGGCCUCACGGUCCGAGUUGUAAUUUGUAGAGGAUGCUUCGAGCAUGGUCUGGCCUAAGUUCCUUGGAACAGGACGUCAUAGAGGGUGAGAGCCCCGUACGGUUGGACGCCUAGCCUCUGUAAAGCUCCUUCGAC
rnacentral:rRNA from 1 species